ACUCAAAUGAAUUGACGGGAACCCGCACAAGCGGUGGAGCAUGUGGUUUAAUUCGACGGUAAGCGAGGAACCUUACCAAGGCUUGACAUGUCUGGAAUCCGCCAGAAAAGGUGGAGUGCCGCAAGGAACCAGAACACAGGUGUUGCAUGGUUGUCGUCAGCUCGUGUCGUGAGAUGUUGGGUUAAGUCCUCUAACGAGCGCAACCCCUGUUCACUGUUAAAUAUUCAGUGAAGACUGCCUGGGUUUAACCAGGAGGAAGGUGGGGAUGACGUCAAAUCAGCAUGGCCCUUACGCCUUGGGCUACACACGUGCUACAAUGGCUCGUACAAUGAGUUGCAAAGCAGUAAUGCGAAGCUAAUCUCAUCAAAACGAGCCCCAGUUCGGAUUGAGGUCUGCAACUCGACCUCAUGAAGCCGGAAUCGCUAGUAAACGCCAAUCAGCCAUGUGGCGUUGAAUACGUUCUCGGGUUUUGUACACACCGCCCGU
rnacentral:rRNA from 1 species